rnacentral:rRNA from 1 species
AUUGAACGCUGGCGGCAGGCCUAACACAUGCAAGUCGAGCGGCAGCGGGAAAGUAGCUUGCUACUUUUGCCGGCGAGCGGCGGACGGGUGAGUAAUGCCUGGGAAAUUGCCCAGUCGAGGGGGAUAACAGUUGGAAACGACUGCUAAUACCGCAUACGCCCUACGGGGGAAAGCAGGGGACCUUCGGGCCUUGCGCGUUUGGAUAUGCCCAGGUGGGAUUAGCUAGUUGGUGAGGUAAUGGCUCACCAAGGCGACGAUCCCUAGCUGGUCUGAGAGGAUGAUCAGCCACACUGGAACUGAGACACGGUUCAGACUCCUACGGGAGGCAGCAGUGGGGAAUAUUGCACAGUGGGGGAAACCCUGAUGCAGCCAUGCCGCGUGUGUGAAGAGGGCCUUCGGGUUGUAAAGCACUUUCAGCGAGGAGGAAAGGUUGAUGCCUAAUACGUAUCAACUGUGACGUUACUCGCAGAAGAAGCACCGGCUAACUCCGUGCCAGCAGCCGCAGUAAAAC